GCGAUCGUAGCUCAGCUGGUUAGAGCGCCGGAUUGUGGUUCCGGAGGUCGCGGGUUCGAAACCCGUCGUUCGCC
rnacentral:tRNA from 1 species